CACGUAGAAGACUAGUGUUAUUCAUCUUUAUUAGGUUUAAAGGGUACCUAGACGGAAAAUAAAGCUAUAAUAAGUACUAAUUUUCUAGAGUUUUAUGAAAGAAGGGGUGAAUUUCCAGAGGAAAGUUGAUAUUUUGUGAUACUGGAAGGACGGGUAACAGCGAAGGCAACCUUUUAUGUAAAAACUGACGUUGAGGGACGAAGCCUUGGGUAACGAGAAGG
rnacentral:rRNA from 1 species